rnacentral:rRNA from 1 species
UACGUAGGUGGCAAGCGUUGUCCGGAAUUACUGGGUGUAAAGGGAGCGCAGGCGGGAGUGCAGGUCAGAUGUGAAAUCCCGCGGCUCAACCGCGGAACUGCAUUUGAAACUGUGCUUCUUGAGUGCUGGAGAGGCAGACGGAAUUCCUAGUGUAGCGGUGAAAUGCGUAGAUAUUAGGAGGAACACCAGUGGCGAAGGCGGUCUGCUGGACAGUAACUGACGGUGAGGCGCGAAAGCGUGGGGAGCAAACAGG